rnacentral:rRNA from 1 species
UACGAAGGGGACUAGCGUUGUUCGGAUUUACUGGGCGUAAAGCGCGCGUAGGCGGAUCGCUAAGUCAGGGGGUGAAAUCCCAAGGCUCAACCUUGGGAACUGCCUUUGAUACUGACGAUCUGGAGAUCGGGAGAGGGUGAGUGGAAUUCCGAGUGUAGAGGUGGAAAUUCGUAGAUAUUCGGAGGAACACCAGAAGGCGAAGGCGGGCUCACUGGCCGAUACUGACGCUGAGGCGCGAAGCGUGGAGCAAC